rnacentral:siRNA from 1 species
UCAUACCUUUCUGGAUCCAAGUGC